rnacentral:lncRNA from 1 species
CCCAGAACAAAGACCUGAGUGGUUUUGGUUCUGUUGUGUGAGUUGUAGUUCAAAUAUUCGCCUUCUGUUCAUUAAAGGCAUACUCAGAGCAAUGCUGGGAAAUACAGCAAUCUGUCUUGCAUCAAAGCAAUCCCACAGUGAGAUCUGCCCAGCAUAUAUUUUCCUGGCAUGAUGUGGUGAGAUUCAGUCUAAGCACGUUACUUCAGUUUUGAUAUCACAGGGAAAGCACAGAACAUAUCUUUUCAUAGUACCACAGAUUUUUGCUGCAUCCUGUAAAUGACACAUGUUACCACUUUUUGGUGGAUGAGCUCCAGGGCUAACAGAGCCUGCGGUUUGUAGUGUUCCUAGUGUGAGAAAGAGGUUGCCCUUUCUCCAGCGCUCUGUGCUCCCAUUCCCCUACAUUGACUAAUCUAACUACUCAGUAAUUCAAGGAUUUCUUUCAAGGAGAGGACAAAACUCGGCUCCACAUUGCAUAAUUCUAACACCCUUGAGAGAGAGAGAGCACACAUACUGACAUAUUCCUAGGAUAGAAAAAAAUGGGCAAUGUUUUGAGGAAGUUAGUCUAUGAUGAGGGAGAGAUUAGAAAGCUGGAAAAGUGUUGUAAAGGUUGUUUUACUUUAAUAAAUGCUGGAGUUUGUUUAUAAGUUAUAACAACAAGCUAAUAUAAGAUUUUAAUUAAG